UACGUAGGGGGCAAGCGUUGUCCGGAAUCAUUGGGCGUAAAGAGCGUGUAGGCGGCCUUUUAAGUCCUGCGUGAAAUCCUGCGGCUCAACCGCAGACGGUCGUGGGAAACUGGAAGGCUAGAGUGCGGGAGAGGAGAGUGGAAUUCCCGGUGUAGCGGUGAAAUGCGCAGAUAUCGGGAAGAACACCCGUGGCGAAGGCGGCUCUCUGGAACGCAACUGACGCUGAGACGCGAAAAGCGUGGGGAGCAAACAGGG
rnacentral:rRNA from 1 species